UACGUAGGAGACAAGCGUUGUCCGGAAUUACUGGGUGUAAAGCGCGUGUAGGCGGUAGGCCAAGUCUGCUGUGAAAUCGCCCGGCUCAACUGGGCGCGGUCGGUGGAAACUGGUCAACUGGAGGACGGUAGAGGCGAGUGGAAUUCCCGGUGUAGUGGUGAAAUGCGUAGAGAUCGGGAGGAACACCAGUGGCGAAGGCGGCUCGCUGGGCCGGUCCUGACGCUGAGACGCGAAGGCGUGGGAGGCGAACGGG
rnacentral:rRNA from 1 species